rnacentral:rRNA from 1 species
UACGUAGGGACCAAGCGUUGUUCGGAUUUACUGGGCGUAAAGGGCGCGUAGGCGGCAAUUCAAGUCAUCUGUGAAAUCUCCGGGCUUAACUCGGAACGGUCAGAUGAUACUGCUUUGCUAGAGUGCGGAAGGGGCAAUCGGAAUUCUUGGUGUAGCGGUGAAAUGCGUAGAUAUCUGGAGGAACACCGGUGGCGAAGGCGGCAUCCUGGACCGGUAUUGACGCUGAGGCGCGAAAGCCAGGGGAGCGAACGGG